GAAUUCGCCCUUAGAGUUUGAUUCUGGCUCAGGAUAAACGCUGGCGGCGUGCAUAACACAUUCAAGUCGAACGGACUUUAUGGAAAAGCUUGCUUGGAAAUAAAGUUAGUGGCGGACGGGUGAGUAACGCGUGAGCAACCUGCCUAUCAGUGGGGAAUAACGUUUGGAAACGAACGCUAAUACCGCAUAGUCGAAGAUAUCGCAUGAUGACUUCGGGAAAGGAGCGAUCCGCAACGAGAUGGGCUCGCGUCUGAUUAGAUAGUUGGUGAGGUAACGGCUCACCAAGUCAACGAUCAGUAGCCGGACUGAGAGGUUGAACGGCCACAUUGGAACUGAGAUACGGUCCAGACUCCUACGGGAGGCAGCAGUGGGGAAUAUUGGGCAAUGGGCGAAAGCCUGACCCAGCGACGCCGCGUGAAGGAAGAAGGUCUUCGGAUUGUAAACUUUAGUCAACAGGGACGAACAGAUGACGGUACCUGUGGAGGAAGCCACGGCUAACUACGUGCCAGCAGCCGCGGUAAUACGUAGGUGGCGAGCGUUAUCCGGAUUUACUGGGUGUAAAGGGUGAGUAGGCGGGUCUGCAAGUCAGAUGUGAAAACUUGGAGCUUAACUCCAAGCCUGCAUUUGAAACUGUGGAUCUUGAGAGUCGGAGAGGUAAUCGGAAUUCCCGGUGUAGCGGUGAAAUGCGUAGAUAUCGGGAGGAACAUCAGUGGCGAAGGCGGAUUACUGGACGACAACUGACGCUGAGACACGAAAGCGUGGGGAGCAAACAGGAUUAGAUACCCUGGUAGUCCACGCCGUAAACGA
rnacentral:rRNA from 1 species